GGGCGGUUAGCUCAGCUGGUUAGAGCGACUGCUUUACACGCAGUAGGUCGGGGGUUCGAGUCCUCCACCGCCCA
rnacentral:tRNA from 1 species